UACGUAGGGUCCGAGCGUUGUCCGGAAUUAUUGGGCGUAAAGGGCUCGUAGGCGGUUUGUCGCGUCGGGAGUGAAAACCUACAGCUUAACUGUGGGCUUGCUUUCGAUACUGGCAGACUUGAGGCAUGCAGGGGAGAGCGGAAUUCCUGGUGUAGCGGUGAAAUGCGUAGAUAUCUGGAGGAACACCGGUGGCGAAGGCGACAUCCUGGACCGGUAUUGACGCUGAGGCGCGAAAGCCAGGGGAGCAAACGGG
rnacentral:rRNA from 1 species